GUUCCUGUUUGGAUUUACUUAAUUUGCCUAAACUAACGGGGAAAGAAAUGUAACUCUUGAAGGUUUCUACUCGCCAACAAUCUGAUUACAAGAAAAAUUCCAUAAAGUUCUGCUCGAUUUUAGAAAAAAAACGAUACUGGCACAUCUUUUUCUUGUUCCGUGUGGCAGCCUUCUUGACAUUCUUCUUCUUCGUCUUCUUCUUCUUCAUUUUCUUUUACUUACUUUUUUUAGUGAGUGUAAGUCCCAUUUAUAUUAUAUUGAUACUUGAGUUGAACAACGAUUGCAACAUUGACAAUGCCACAAGUUUCCAGGGGCUUAUCUGCAUCCUACUAAUGAAGGGUGUGUUAUUGGGAUGGGAAUGGCUUACAGUGUAUGUGUAGUGAAUGCGCCAAGGUAUUGAGAUUCCAAACCAAUCGCUGCCCCGUUUGUCGUACCCCAGUGGAGAAAUUGUUAGAAAUAAAAGUGCCCAAGAGAGGUUCUGAGCUCGGUGGCGCU
rnacentral:lncRNA from 1 species